CCUACGGGACGCAGCAGUGGGGAAUAUUGCACAAUGGGGGAAACCCUGAUGCAGCGACGCCGCGUGAAGGAAGAAGUAUUUCGGUAUGUAAACUUCUAUCAGCAGGGAAGAAAAUGACGGUACCUGACUAAGAAGCCCCGGCUAACUACGUGCCAGCAGCCGCCGUAAUACGUAGGGGGCAAGCGUUAUCCGGAUUUACUGGGUGUAAAGGGCGUGUAGGCGGGAACGCAAGUCAGAUGUGAAAACUCAGGGCUCAACCCUGAGCCUGCAUUUGAAACUGUGUUUCUUGAGUGCUGGAGAGGAAA
rnacentral:rRNA from 1 species